rnacentral:rRNA from 1 species
CCUACGGGGGGCAGCAGUGGGGAAUAUUGCACAAUGGGCGCAAGCCUGAUGCAGCGACGCCGCGUGGGGGAUGAAGGCCUUCGGGUUGUAAACUCCUUUCGCUAUCGACGAAGCCACUUGUGGUGACGGUAGGUAGAUAAGAAGCACCGGCUAACUACGUGCCAGCAGCCGCGGUAAUACGUAGGGUGCGAGCGUUGUCCGGAAUUACUGGGCGUAAAGAGCUCGUAGGUGGUUUGUCGCGUCGUCUGUGAAAUCCCGGGGCUUAACUUCGGGCGUGCAGGCGAUACGGGCAUAACUUGAGUGCUGUAGGGGAGACUGGAAUUCCUGGUGUAGCGGUGAAAUGCGCAGAUAUCAGGAGGAACACCGAUGGCGAAGGCAGGUCUCUGGGCAGUUACUGACGCUGAGGAGCGAAAGCAUGGGUAGCGAACAGGAUUAGAU